UUAUCGGAGAGUUUGAUCCUGGCUCAGGACGAACGCUGGCGGCGUGCCUAAUACAUGCAAGUCGAGCGGACAGAUGGGAGCUUGCUCCCUGAUGUUAGCGGCGGACGGGUGAGUAACACGUGGG
rnacentral:rRNA from 5 species